AGAGCUUGUAGGCGGCUUGUCGCGUCUGCUGUGAAAACCCGGGGCUUAACCCCGGGCUUGCAGUGGGUACGGGCAGGCUAGAGUGUGGUAGGGGAGACUGGAAUUCCUGGUGUAGCGGUGGAAUGCGCAGAUAUCAGGAGGAACACCGAUGGCGAAGGCAGGUCUCUGGGCCAUUACUGACGCUGAGAAGCGAAAGCGUGGGGAGCGAACAGGAUUAGGUACCCUGGUAGUCCACGCCGUAAACGUUGGGCGCUAGGUGUGGGUCCCAUUCCACGGGGUCCGUGCCGCAGCUAACGCAUUAAGCGCCCCGCCUGGGGAGUACGGCCGCAAGGCUAAAACUCAAAGGAAUUGACGGGGGCCCGCACAAGCGGCGGAGCAUGCGGAUUAAUUCGAUGCAACGCGAAGAACCUUACCAAGGCUUGACAUAUACCGGAAACUCUCAGAGAUGGGGGCCCCGCAAGGUCGGUAUACAGGUGGUGCAUGGUUGUCGUCAGCUCGUGUCGUGAGAUGUUGGGCUAAGUCCCGCAACGAGCGCAACCCUCGUUCUAUGUUGCCAGCACGUGAUGGUGGGGACUCAUAGGAGACUGCCGGGGUCAACUCGGAGGAAGGUGGGGAUGACGUCAAAUCAUCAUGCCCCUUACGUCUUGGGCUUCACGCAUGCUACAAUGGCCGGUACAGAGGGCUGCGAAACCGUGAGGUGGAGCGAAUCCCUUAAAGCUGGUCUCAGUUCGGAUUGGGGUCUGCAACUCGACCCCAUGAAGUCGGAGUC
rnacentral:rRNA from 1 species